GACGAACGCUGGCGGCGUGCUUAACACAUGCAAGUCGAACGAAGAGCGAUGGAAGCUUGCUUCUAUCAAUCUUAGUGGCGAACGGGUGAGUAACGCGUAAUCAACCUGCCCUUCAGAGGGGGACAACAGUUGGAAACGACUGCUAAUACCGCAUACGAUCUGACCUCGGCAUCGAGGAUAGAUGAAAGGUGGCCUCUACAUGUAAGCUAUCACUGAAGGAGGGGAUUGCGUCUGAUUAGCUAGUUGGAGGGGUAACGGCCCUCCAAGGCGAUGAUCAGUAGCCGGUCUGAGAGGAUGAACGGCCACAUUGGGACUGAGACACGGCCCAGACUCCUACGGGAGGCAGCAGUGGGGAAUCUUCCGCAAUGGACGAAAGUCUGACGGAGCAACGCCGCGUGAGUGAUGACGGCCUUCGGGUUGUAAAGCUCUGUUAAUCGGGACGAAAGGCCUUUUUGCGAAUAGUGAGAAGGAUUGACGGUACCGGAAUAGAAAGCCACGGCUAACUACGUG
rnacentral:rRNA from 1 species